GGCUUUAUAUUCAAUAUUAUGAUUUUAGAUUGCAAUUCUAAAGUAGUGUUUAUCACUAAAGCUU
rnacentral:tRNA from 1 species